GAGAUUCAGUGGUAGAGUGUUUGCUCAGCAUACAGAAAGUCCCAAGCUCAAUUCUUGGCAUCACCA